ACUCCUACGGGAGGCAGCAGUGGGGAAUUUUGCGCAAUGGGGGCAACCCUGACGCAGCAACGCCGCGUGAGUGAUGAAGGCCUUUGGGUCGUAAAGCUCUGUCAGAGGGAAAGAAAUGUGGGCGGCUAAUAUCCGCUCCACUUGACGGUACCCUCAAAGGAAGCACCGGCUAACUCCGUGCCAGCAGCCGCGGUAAUACGGAGGGUGCGAGCGUUGUUCGGAAUUAUUGGGCGUAAAGCGCGUGUAGGCGGUUUUGUAAGUCUGAUGUGAAAGCCCUGGGCUCAACCUGGGAAGUGCAUUGGAUACUGCAAGACUUGAGUACGGGAGAGGGCAGUGGAAUUCCCAGUGUAGGAGUGAAAUCCGUAGAUAUUGGGAGGAACACCGGUGGCGAAGGCGGCUGCCUGGACCGAUACUGACGCUGAGACGCGAAAGCGUGGGGAGCAAACAGGAUUAGAUACCCUGGUAGUCCACGCCGUAAACGAUGAGAACUAGGUGUUGCGGGUA
rnacentral:rRNA from 1 species